rnacentral:SRP_RNA from 1 species
GCUGGGCGUGGUGGCGGGCACCUGUAGUCACAGCUACUCGGGAGGCUGAGGCAGGAGAAUGGUGUGAACCCGGGAGGCGGAGCUUGCAGUGAGCUGAGAUCGCGCCACUGCACUCCAGCCUGGGUGACAGACCGAGACUCCGUCUAAAAAAGACGGAGUUUUGCUCUUGUUGCCCAGGCCGCAGCGCAAUGGCGCGAUCUCGGCUCACUGCAACCUCUGCCUCCCGGGUUCAAACGAUCUUCUGCCUCAG